rnacentral:ncRNA from 1 species
UCUAAGGUUGGCUUAGGGUGUCUUGGUAUCAAUUAUCGAUGUGAGCGAUGAUUGAAAAGUUACGUAUAUUCUUCAUAUUUAGAGUUAAUUAUGCCUUACGCGAAUCAUGAGGCCGCUGUUCUGUGCCUGACGUUUUUUAAUCCGAAAACGCCGCAUUCUACACUACAUCCACGAAACCAGGAAAUGCUCUUACCGCUAGCAUAACCGGAGUAAAUGACGAGUUCUUGCGGGAGUUGUAAAUAAAGAUAAGGGCCAGUGAAUCACUGACCCAGUUGGGAGGAAGGCGUCUCGAUGCGGACUAAAUCUGGCGGCAAGCCGACGCUGAUAAUAACCGGCUGCCACGACUGCCGGGAGGCUAAGCCCGGCGAAAGACCGCGCGCGACCAGAAACCCACCCACGCCGCCCAAAAUUGCCCCGCAUAGCGAAGCGAAGUCGUUGGCAAACAGCACCUGGAAUAUCGAUGCCAUCAUGAACAAUCCGACUAACGGCGCCAUAUACACCAGUACUGCCGACCCGAGCAGGCUACUCUCAGCAAUGCCCAGUUCCACUUUUUGCCCGACCGACAGCGGCUGCUCGCAGGGAACGCUAAUGGUAUGGCUGGUUUGCGGCCCAAGCUUAUUCAGUACCCGGCUGCCGCAGCCGGCGCGGGAAGCGCAGCUGCUGCAGGAUGCUUUAACAUCGCAAUGAACCAGCGCAACGCCAUUAUCCCAGGAGACGACCGUCGCCCACUCUUUAAUCAUUGAACUGCCCUGAAUUUAAUACUGUCGGAAAUACG